rnacentral:tRNA from 12 species
GGGGCUGUAGCUCAGAUGGGAGAGCGCGUCGUUCGCAAUGACGAGGUCAGGGGUUCGAUUCCCCUCAGCUCCACCA